rfam:Streptomyces afghaniensis 772 genomic scaffold STAFG_scaffold1425, whole genome shotgun sequence.
CCGACAGGCAAACCCGCCUGCUCGGAUACUGACCCCGGUACCUGAUACGGCCGGGGCAG